GUCUUAGCUUGCUAAGGCUGAUGGCGACCGGCGCACGAGUGAGUAACACGUAUCCAACCUGCCGUCUACUCUUGGCCAGCCUUCUGAAAGGAAGAUUAAUCCAGGAUGGGAUCAUGAGUUCACAUGUCCGCAUGAUUAAAGGUAUUUUCCGGUAGACGAUGGGGAUGCGUUCCAUUAGAUAGUAGGCGGGGUAACGGCCCACCUAGUCAACGAUGGAUAGGGGUUCUGAGAGGAAGGUCCCCCACAUUGGAACUGAGACACGGUCCAAACUCCUACGGGAGGCAGCAGUGAGGAAUAUUGGUCAAUGGGCGAUGGCCUGAACCAGCCAAGUAGCGUGAAGGAUGACGG
rnacentral:rRNA from 1 species